rnacentral:sRNA from 1 species
GUGUCAACUCCGUUUCGUUCCCUGCUCAUCUAACUCUCAUGGCAGCCUUGCUAGAUAGAGAGUAUUAUUAUCCCCAUUUUCCAGACAGGGACCUUGAGGCCCAGAGAGAUGAAGUAGCUUGUCUAGGGUCACGCAGCUUCCUCAGUGGGGUCGCCGUACCAGGGGCCCUGGCAGGGUCAGCUGCAAGAACAUCAAACCAGAGUGCCCAACCCCAGCCUGUGGGCAGCCGCGCCAGCUGCCGGGACACUGCUGCCAGACCUGCCCCCAGGAGCGCAGCAGUUCGGAGCGGCAGCCGAGCGGCCUGUCCUUCGAGUAUCCGCGGGACCCGGAGCAUCGCAGUUAUAGCGACCGCGGGGAGCCAGGCGCUGAGGAGCGGGCCCGUGGUGACGGCCACACGGACUUCGUGGCGCUGCUGACAGGGCCGAGGUCGCAGGCGGUGGCACGAGCCCGAGUCUCGCUGCUGCGCUCUAGCCUCCGCUUCUCUAUCUCCUACAGGCGGCUGGACCGCCCUACCAGGGUCCGCUUCUCAGACUCCAAUGGCAGUGUCCUGUUUGAGCACCCUGCAGCCCCCACCCAAGAUGGCCUGGUGAGAUGAUGCCAUUUAUGAG